UAAGACUGGGAUAACUCCGGGAUACCGGAGCUAAUACUGGAUAGUUCCUUGAACCGCAUGGUUCAAGGAUGAAAGACGGUUUCGGCUGUCACUUACAGAUGGACCCGCGGCGCAUUAGCUAGUUGGUGGGGUAAUGGCUCACCAAGGCGACGAUGCGUAGCCGACCUGAGAGGGUGAUCGGCCACACUGGGACUGAGACACGGCCCAGACUCCUACGGGAGGCAGCAGUAGGGAAUCUUCCGCAAUGGACGAAAGUCUGACGGAGCAACGCCGCGUGAGUGAUGAAGGUUUUCGGAUCGUAAAGCUCUGUUGUUAGGGAAGAACAAGUGCGAGAGUAACUGCUCGCACCUUGACGGUACCUAACCAGAAAGCCACGGCUAACUACGUGCCAGCAGCCGCGGUAAUACGUAGGUGGCAAGCGUUGUCCGGAAUUAUUGGGCGUAAAGGGCUCGCAGGCGGUUUCUUAAGUCUGAUGUGAAAGCCCCCGGCUCAACCGGGGAGGGUCAUUGGAAACUGGGAAACUUGAGUGCAGAAGAGGAGAGUGGAAUUCCACGUGUAGCGGUGAAAUGCGUAGAGAUGUGGAGGAACACCAGUGGCGAAGGCGACUCUCUGGUCUGUAACUGACGCUGAGGAGCGAAAGCGUGGGGAGCGAACAGGAUUAGAUACCCUGGUAGUCCACGCCGUAAACGAUGAGUGCUAAGUGUUAGGGGGUUUCCGCCCCUUAGUGCUGCAGCUAACGCA
rnacentral:rRNA from 1 species